GUUUUGUUUAGAUCUUCUCAUUUUGUAUCAUAUGAUGGCAGGUAUAUCUACCGCUUUCUAUGUGGAUUGACUAGAUGUUACAAAGGUGGGCGUGCAUCCAUUGAUGAUAACUUAUGAGAGAUGAAGGGCAUUGUUGGCCUUGAUUUUGGAGUUUCAAGCAAACAAGAGCAUGCUAGAUUGAUGAUAAAAACCAAAACAUCUUUUACUC